ACGCAGAGCAGGCAGGCAGCUGCUUCACGAAUUUUCCAUGAGACAGCGCUGGUAUAAAUAGAACUGGUCGAACCAGAUACUGCCAUUCGCAAAAAAAAAGUGUUCAAGUUUAGUCGCAGUGCCUCUAAAGAAAAAGUUAUAAAAUUGUAAAAAAAAGUAUUCACUAUUGCUGGCUAGCAUAUAUAAUCAUCAACGAAAAAAAUGGAAAAGUGUGGAAAACGUGUCGUAAAAGCGAAACAAAGGCCAUAUUCCAGCAUGGCAACAACGCCAACGUAGUCUUUCUCAAUGUCGGGCAAUAUUUGCUCAUAAGUUGAAACAAAGAAAUACGCUGGAAAAGUGUAUGAGUCAUCGAUUUCACCGUCAGCUUCGGGGCAUUUCACAAUGCGGAAGCAGCUGGAAAGGCGCAGUUUCUCGUUUUUGGCUAGAAAGUAACUCUCUAGGCAGGAUGAGGCAAUCCAGGAGGUUCAGGAAACUCUCGAAACAGACUCAGUCGGGUGCAAUGGCGGCAGCACAGACCUGCAGUGUACGUGGAAUUGAUAAUUUGGGAUAGGAAGCCAGUUGGGCGUUGAAAGUUGAUACGCAAACGCGUAGGCGAUCGAUCCAAGUAAAACUCUGAACUCUGUACCCUUCGCGAGCAAUAGGCAGAAGAAGUGCUGAAAAUGCACUUCGGCCCAUGUACGCGUUUGGCGUACGCGAAAGUUGUGGCUGCGACCCUGACUCAGCCUUAGUGUUGAUUGUCGGGGUCGCGGACUGACCAGGGUGCGUCGUUUCUAUCAGAUUGAUUGUGCGGAUUGUGUUAUAGGAACUCCGGUGUAUCGACUUCUCUGCUCUACUAAGGGUGAACCCUACAAUGGGCCUUCUGUUGCUUACCUACCAUCGAACGAAUACCAAUACAUAUCGGGCAGAUAUACGUAUAACUCUGUUCUGACAUCGAUCGAUUGAAACUGUUCACACGUCGUCUUUGGAGUAGCAAUUUAACCAACAAGUCCAAAACAAUGGCUGUUGCUUGCAAACAAUCUUUUCUGUGGCUAUACAUUUUGUGGUGAACUCUAAGCGGAAACAGUUCCACACCAACAAUGUGUUAAGUUCUUAAAUAUUUGAAAUUGUUUAAACUGUUUUUGUUUUUGUACACUCUACGACUUUAUAAUUACUUGUACAAAUGUAAAAUUAUUUGUCGAAACAAAACAAAAAAUAAGAAAAUGGAAAAAAUGCUUAACAAAAGAGCUCAUCUAUCGAAAAGAAGCAACAAAAAAGUGAAUAAAAUUCAAUAAUUCCAAAAAUAAAUCUUGAAACAUUGCUCGUCAUAUUUUUUUUAUUUCAAGCUUAAAUUCAAUUUCAGUUAGAUCAUCCAACCGUUUUACAAAGCGUUGCAGCAGUUAGCUCGUCGAGGAAGGGUUGAUCUCAGUAUCUCAGUACACACCCGACUAAAACCGAAUACAUAAUUCUCUAUCCAUGACGCUCAACAUGAAGAAGGGGACAGUGAUCACCCUCAAAGCGAAAUAUUUUAAUUAAAUUCGUUAGUUCCUGAUAUCCAUUUUAGGUUAUGUUCAAACUUCAAAAGGCUGCCAAAGCAUAAAAGUACGUAAAUAUUUUACCUUCUUACCAUCUAAACAAUGUUUUAGUAAAACACUAUAUUUCGGAGUAAAAAUUUGAGGAUUGUCACCAAUUGUUCUUUAAACAAUCUUAGGAAAGAAUUAUUCAUUUCUCUACAACAAGACAAAAUUGGGAUGAUUAUGGCUUCACAUUGUAAGCUGAACAUGGAAGUUUCCGGAAUAUAAUUUAUAAUGAAAGCAUAUACACAUAUAAUUCUCAUAUAUUUACAAAAAUGUCGUGUCCAAAUAUAAUGUAAAAUUUAAAAAAAAUGCAAAAAUAUUGUCAAACAUUUAAACUUAAGCAUUAAACUGUUCCCUCCACCAGACACUCUGAAGCUUCCCAAGUACCCAAAACAAUUUCAUAUUAAAGACUGCAUAGAACCAGGUUUAAACAGCACUGCGAUUAUACAAAAAAUAGCUUAUUCGAUCUCUUGAAACGAUCGGACCGCUUUCUCCAGCACUCUUAAACAUGGUAGGUAGGUUUUAUAUUGACAUGCAUAGCUCUGUUAUUCAUCGAAAUUAUCUGAUUUAUUAUUUACAUCAAAAUCAUAUAGCAAUGUUUUAUAACUAUACAAAAUCGAUAGGGAAAAAUAAUAUAUUUUUCAACAUAAUAGGUAGGUUUCAUUCCGUUAAUUUCAACAAGGUUUUUUUUUUAUAUUACAAUUUCUUAAUAACUGGAUCGGAUUUUCUUAAGGAAUCGCAUCUAGCUACCUCAAAUCACAAGCAUAGUAGCAAUAUCGACACCGGCGUAUAAUUCGAGGUGUCCCGAAUGUCCAUCGACUCGAGUUUCGCGGGGGGACCAUUGGUCAAAUAUCCCGUAGAGGCGCUUCUGAUUGAAGCACACACUCAAUCUACUCAUGUAGGCGUUCCAGUUGAGCCCAUCCAGCACCGUGUUCCAGUUUGUGGAUCCACUGUCGGGCGUAUCUCUACUCCCGCGAGUCGGUAUGGAACGCCUCCUCCAGCUGAGUGCUACACUCGAGCAACGCAGUAAAAUCAGUGAACAGGAGAUUCAUCUUGGCUUCGUGGACGACCGAUGUCGCCAACCCCUUCAUCUUCAAACGAAAAUUCUCAGAAAAUAUAAACGAGUGAUGGAUUCAGAAAAUUUGGCAGCGCAUACAAUAAGUAUGGAAGUAUCGUCACUCAUGUGGUAUAAAACUGCGAAAAACUUCAAGACAUACAUUAAGACGAUCCGAACAUGGACUAAAUUAAUAUCUGUGACAAUAUAAAUAUGAAAAUAAUCUACAUAUGUGGUAUCUUAUAACUAUUAUAUACUAACUAACUAACUAACUAUAACCUUACAGAUCAAGAGUUUUCUACUUCCUAGCGCUUGUACUGUACUACAUAAUAUCUCCCAGCCCGACUUCUGACUUCAACCAAAAUAGGUAGGGUGCAUACAAAUGUUUUUAAGAUGGUAUUGAUCUCGUGAUCGCUAUAAGAACAGGAUUUCGUUUACGGAUAGUGAUUUCUCAAUGUUAUCGGUAGGAAUUCUUGUCAUAUUUAUAUGUUAUAGUAAUACCCACUGCCCCCGUGCCUUACCCUUCUAUAUACCAACCUUCUCUUCUUGAUUGCAAUGAAAACUGAAAAUAAAUUUACAUAUUGGAGGAUAGGAACUUUUAUGUUAUCUUUAAAAUCUUAAGGUUAAGAACCACUUUCCCUCGUAACAUAAGACAAGAAUUUUCCACUAUCAGAGGUAGGGAUUGUAGCGCACUAAAAUUGCGUACAGAUGUAAUAAAGAUGGUUCUGAUCUCUUGAUCAGAAACAGAAGUUAAUUUACGGAUCGUGAUUUCUCAACCUCAUCGAGUGAUUGAUUGAGUGAUUGAUAAUUAUCUUAUGAUAAUCUUAUGAUAAUUAUAUGCUUUUAUAUUAAUACCCACGUUCCAUUUCUUCUUGAUAUUUGAGGAUAGGGACUUUUAUGAAACCUAUAAAAUCUUAACCACUUUCCCUCAUGACAUACGACAAGGAUAUAUGAUUUUUCACUAUAAUAGGUAGAGGCUGUAGCUUACCAAAAUAGGAAGGGUGCGUACAGAUGUUAUAAAGAUGGUUUUGAUCUCUUGAUCACUAUGAGACGAAGAAUUAAUUAACGGAUAGUGAUUUCUCAACCUUAUUAUACUAUUAUAUAUUAUAUUAUUAUAUAUUAUACUCAACUAUUAUAUUUAUAUGUUCUUAUAUUAAUACCCACUUACCUCUUGACUCACCCUUUUAUACCGACCACCUCUCAAUCUCAUCUUGAUCACAAUGAAACCCGAAAAAUGUUACAUAUUUGAGGAUAGGGACUUUUAUGUUAUCUAUAUAAUCUUAAGAUUAAGAGCCACUAUCUGUUGUGACAUACGACAAAUAUAUAUAAUUUUCCGCUAUAAUAGGUAGGGAUUGUAGCUCACCAAAAUAUAUAGGGUCUGCGCAAAAGUUUUAUGAUUAUGCUCCACUUUCCCUCAGGACUUACCCUUCUACAUAUUGACCAUAUCUCCAUGUCUCCUUGAUCGCAAAGAAAACGGGAAAUUAUUUACAUAUUCGAGGAUAGGGACUCCUCCUAUCUACACAAUCUUUUGGCUAGGAACCACAUUCCCUCGUGUCAUACGACAAGGAUAUGUGAUUUUCCACUACAAUAGGUAGGAAUUGUAGCUCACUAAAAUAGGUAGGGUGCGUACAAAUGUUUUAUAGAUGGUUUUGAUCUCUUGAUCGCUGUAAGGCUGUAAGAAUUAAUUAACGGAUAGUGAUUUCUCAACCUUAUCGGCAGGGACUGUUAUUAUAUUUUUUUAUGUUCUUAUAGUAAUACCCAUUUUGCCUCGCUACUUACCUACUUAUAUACCGACCAUCUCUCCAAAUCUUCUUGACCGAAAUGAUUUUCAGAAUAAACUGACAUAUUUUAGGAUAGCGACUCCUAUGUUAUCUAUACAACCUUAUGGCUAAGAUCCACAUUCCCUCGUGUCAUACGACCAAUAUAUAUGAUUUUCCACUUUAAUAGGUAGGGAUUGUAGCUCACUACAGUAGGUAGGGUGCGUACAAAUGGUUUUGAUCUCUUGAUCGCUAUAAGACGAGGAACUAAUUUACAGAUAGAGAUCUCUCAACAUUAUCAGUAGGGACUGUUAUUAUAUUUUUGUAUGUUCUUAUAUUAAUACACAUUUUCCCUCGCGACUUACCCUCUUAUGUACUGACCAUCUCUCCAUCACUUCUUGACCGAAAUGAAUUUUAGAAUCAACUUACAUAUUUGGCGAUAGGGACUUUUAUUUUAUCUAUAUAAUCUUAUGGUUAAGAAGCACCUUUUCUGAUAGGUAGGAAUUGUAGCUUACGAAAACAGGUAGGGUGCGUGCAAAUGCUUUAAAGACGGUUUUGAUCACUUUAUCGCAAUGAGAACAGUAAUUAAUUUACAAACAGUGAUCUCUGAACCUUAUCGGUAGGGACUCUGAUUAUAUUUAUAUGUUCUUAUAUUAAUACCCACUUACUUCGUGACUCACCUUUUUAUACCGACCACCUCUUAAUCUCAUCUUGAUCACAAUGAAACCCGCAAUUAUUUUACAUAUUGAACAAUAGGGAAUUUUAUGUAACCUAUAUAAUCUUAAGAUUAAGAACCAGUUUCCGUCGUGACAUACGACAAAUAUAUAUGAUUUUCCUCAGUAAUAGGUAGGGAUUAUAGCUCACCAAAAUAUAUAGGGUCUGCGCAAAUUGUUUAUGAUUAUGCUCCACUUUCCCUCGUGACUUACAGUUCUACAUAUUGACCAUAUCUGCAUGCCUCCUUGAUCACAAAGAAAACGGGAAAUUAUUUACAUAUUGGAGGAUAGGGACUCCUAUGUUAUCUAUACAAUCUUAUGGAUAAUAACCUCAUAUAUGAUUUUCCACUACAAUAGGUAGGAAUUGUAGCUCACUAAAGUAGGCAGGGUGCGUACAAAUUGUAUUGAUAGAGAUCUAUCAACAUUAUCAGUAGGGACUGUUAUUAUAUUGAUGUUCUUAUAGUAAUACCCAUUUUCCCUCGCUACUUACCCUCUUAUAUACCGACCAUCUCUCCAUCUCUUCUUGACCGAAGUGCAUUUUAGAAUCAUCUUACAUAUUUGACGAUAGGGACUUCUAUUUUAUCUAGGUAGGGAAGGUAGGGAUUGUAGCUCACAAAAAUAGGUAGGGUGCAUACAAAAAUUUUAAAGACGGUUUUGAUCGCAAUUAGAACAGGAAGUCAUUUACGGAUAGUGAUUUCUCAACCUUAAUCUUAAGAUUUGCGGCUACGGUCUCUUGUUAUCUAUAAUUUGACCCCCUUUACCUCGUAACAUACGACAAGGAUAUGGAAUUUUAAACAAUAAUAGGUAGGGAUUAGCUAACCAAAAUAGGUAGGGUCCAUACAAAAAUUUUAAAGACGGUUUUGAUCUCUUGAUCGCAAUGAGAACAGAAAGUCAUUUACGGAGAGUGAUUUCUCAACCUCGUCAAUCCUUCUGAUAUAUCUCUUAUACCUUUUCUGAUAAUAUGUUCUUAUACUAAUACCCACUUUCCCUCGUGACGUACCCUCUUAUAUACCGACAAUAUCUCCAUCUCUGCUUGACCGAAAUGAAACCCGGAAUUAUUUUAUGGAUGGUGCUCAAGACUAUCAGUUGGUAUCUUCAAAAAUCUAACACUUUUCCUUUUCGAUAACGAUUUAUAAUCCCCAAUAUUUCCUUGAUCUGAAUGAAAACGGGGAUAUGUUGACAAAUAUUACUUUACAGCUACAACAAAUGAAUGAUUUUAUAAAAUUUUUUGAAGCAAAGUAGGCAGGGCUCAUAAUAGCAUUCAUGUGAUUUGUGUUUAAGUGAAAACAUAAAAAUAUCAAAACGAUAAAUUCAAUUCUCUGCGAAAAUAAAAUUUGAAAAUUUUGGUAAAAUAGUUUCAAUAAAAAUCGUGAUUCCGGCGAUGGGUGUUCGCAUACGUAUAUGUAUCAAAACAAGAAAUAUAUAUUCGGGUAGACCUCCACAAACAACUAUUGGACCAUGAACGAAUAUGUUGGAGACCAAAUAAUGUUACACCACGGACUACAAAGUAAAUAUGCAUUCUCCCGUGAGUUACAGAGAGGAAUAAUGCAAAGGCCAGACCAUACAUAUAUUUUUCAAAAAUAAUCCAUCAAAUUAACUGUCUGAAGAAAUGGAUAAAGGUAUUCUAAUUCCAGUCAAAUUUAAAUGGGACACAAAUCAUACCAGGAAGAUUUACGUUAAUAGAUUACAUUCUCGAAAUAACAUGUGCAAUGAAAUAAUGUACACCGCUUCCAAGCAAUGAAACAAUACAAAUACUAACAUACAAAUAUUUAUGUUUUUAUAGUACAAACAUAUGCAAGUUGGAGUAUUCAUACUCGUGCCAGCAAGUAAAACCACUACACCGCGCAACAAUAACAGCACUACACCACGCAACAAUAAUUCCACUGAUCCCGCUAUUUUCACCAUAUUCUGAACAGUCCAUGUGACACUGGAUAGAAACAUUUUUCGGUAUAUGUAAAUCUUCUACUUGCAAAAAUAAACCGAGCAUUCCAGGAAGUGACGAAAGGAAGCAGUAAAAGCCGCCAAGAUAGGCGCUCGUUAAAUUAGGCUCGUUACAAAUGUUAUGAUCUAAAUAAAUCUACAAGCUUUUGUCUUAUGAAUUUAAUAUCUUCGAACUACCAACUUUAAGCUUAAGCUCUAGUUUGCUUCACUAUCUUCCUCAACGCAAUCCAACUUUUAUUGGCAAACGAUUAAGAUUUCAUUGAGUUCUUCCAUUCUAUAACCAAAGCGUUGACAAACUCUGCUUAUCUUCUACUCUCUUCUAUGUUUUUUAAAAUGUAUGUAUGAUUGGCCAACUUGAUAAAUAUUUGAUAAAAAACUGCAAAUUAAAUCUUACACAUAACUGAAUGAAAUGCAUAGACUCAUUGUAUAAUCUGCAUAAAAAUACUGAUUCUUACUGUAUGCUUGCUGAAAAUUAUGUUUAAAAUGUAUUUAUUGGUAUGCAAUAGACCGCGAGCCUUAUCCUCUGACUCAUUUAUAAGCCUUUUAAAAUAAACUAUUUCAUAGUCAAAAGUUACUGAAUCUAAAAGCAUUUUGUCACUAAACGAAUAUUAAUCAGAUUCUUUUCUCAUCUCAAAACAAAUUAAAUUAAUAUUUCUAAAUAAAAUGUAUGUAUGCCCACUACUGUAAGGGUAUAUUUAUACACCUAUAUGUAUUGAAAUGCAAGCUAUUUCAAAUGAAACACCAAAAGCGGUUAUUAGAAUUUGAAUAUAAAAUAUUUGUGGAACAUUACUCAAAAAUUCCGAACGAGGAACAAUUUUACAGGUGACAGAAAGUUUGAAAAAAUGCAUCCCGGUUGAUUGGAACAUGUUGAUCAAGAAAUUAAUCCAAAUCAGUGAAUAGCAUUCGUUUCUCACGAUUUUGAAAGUAUGAAUAGCUGCCCCCUUAGCGUCGUUCCUUUGCUAGAGUAUACUCAUAAUUGAAUUACCCAAGGUUUCUGGAAAGUCCCAAAGUAUGUUUUUUCCUUACUAUGUACGUUAACUUUUUUCUUCCACUAUUCUUUCCCCAAACUCCAAACGUGAAUACUUUUCUCCCAUUGUUUCGCCAACCUACUUUAUUACCUUUAUCCUAUUAUAGAGACACAAUGCUUUAUCAUUAUCAUUUUGACAAUCUUCUGAUAUGAUAUUCUGUUUAUUAACUCAAAUAAUUUAUUCACGUCUUUGUCGCUACUAGUUUUCCUAUUUAUAACAUGUUAUACAUUAUAUCCAAAAUAGACUACUAAAAUUCAGACAAAACUUAAACAACCAUCAACCAAACAUGUUUUGAAAAUAUGUCUGACAGCUAAAAAUCUUCAGCAUAACGAAUAUUUCUAUGUAUAAUCGUAUUUGGAUAUGGAAACUUCCUUAAGUUCUGCAAUAGCUAUAAAUUAGAUAUGAAAUAUAAAAGUCUAUUAAUAAUUUGUGGAAUUCAUUCAAUGAAAACCCUGACUUAGGAAUCGGAAGAUAGUCGAACAUUUUAUGAUAAAGGGGGAAAUAUUGAUAGCUGUGAUGCUUUACACAAACAUACAGAUAUGAUUGUGUAUUUUUCAAAUAUGCCAUCAAAAAGGAUUUAAUCCAUCACUAUCUAAGUGGAGAAAUGGCAUUGCUAUGAUAUUUAAAGCAUUUGUUCGAGUACAAUUACAUUACCAAACAGUAAAUUCCAAUCCCAUAUGUAUUUCCUAUAUUGCAUGCAGAAUAUAUCGUAAAAUGAUUAUUAUGAUAUGUAAAUUGCAUUUAAUACCAUUCGGGUUGCAUUGCAGUGCAAAGUUCAUCCUCCAAGAAAUGCUUGUUUUUUGGUUUCUAUUGUUUUUCUGUUGUAUACCUUACACGAAACCAAAAAGAGACUACAUGUUAAAUUUUAUCCGAUGUAUUUGGUGGUGUUUUAUUAUAGCACGCAUUGAAAAUAAUACUAUCUAAGUGGUAACAAGCAUACAAUUUUGCAUCUACAUUUAUAAUGAAAACUCAUUUUAAAACAUUAAUUUGCUUUAUGUCCAUAUAUGGGAGAAAUGUAACCCAACAGCAAAAUUAAAAUUAUUUACUGAUUCUACUGGUAUUAUGCAAUGCGAAAAACUUUACCUAAAAGCUAAUAAUAACAAUGCAUUAUUUUACUGACAGUAAUAUUUGUUUGCUCCUAUUACCUUAAGCGCAGCUUUCUCAGAAUAAUGUCGUGCCAGUAUAAUCGUAUUUACUAGAUAUCAAAAUGCGAGUUCCUACUCUAUAAUGAUUGCAACCGAUAUAUGUAUAUACAUGUUUUUUGGGGUUUCCGACUGAACUCAAAUUUUUGUAAACGAUAAUCCUCUAUCAAUUUUUAAAACCAUAAGCAAAAACUUUAAUAAAAAUGCUUCCGUACUUGUUAUAUCACAAAAAAUUGACAUAUAAAUCAUUAAAAAACAAGAUUGUUUUAAAGAAUUCACGGGAACAUAUCGAAACCUAAAAAUCUGCCAGAAAAACUGACAAAUUCGAUCCAAAUUCGAUCUGCAAUGGAAAAUAUGACAUUAAUAAAUAUAUUAUGAGCCUUGCAUAGGAUUAUAUAUGUAAACUGCGCAUCUACCCUGCUAGUCAUCCCUACCCUACCCAUCCCCAAGAAGGGCCCGAAUUAAAAAGGAACUUUUACGCAUAUGUAAAUGACAAACGAAUUUAAUGCAAUCUGAAAUCUUCAUCUUUAUAAAACGGUUGCAAAGAAAAUAUUUAAACAUAGUUAUAGUUCUACCUCGUAUCAUACAACAAGGAUAUGGUAUUCUUAACCAUAAUAGGUAGGGAUAAGCUAACCAAAAUAGGUAGGGUGCGUACAAAUAUUUUACAGGGAGAGCAGGAACUAAUUUAAGGAUAGUGAUUUCUCAACAUCAUCAAUCCCUCUGAUAUACCUCUUUUGAUAAUUUUAUGUUCUUAUAUUAAUACCAUCUUAUAUAUCUCCAUCUCUGCUUGACCGAAAUGAACCCCGGAUUUAUAAUCCCCAAUCUUUCCUUGAUCUGAAUGAAAACGGGGAUAUGUUGACAAAUAUUACUUUAUAGCUACCACAAAUGAAUGAUUUUAUAAAAUUUGUUGAAGCAAAGUAGGCAGGGCUCAUAAUAGCAUUCAUGUGAUUUGUGUUUAAGUGAAUACGUCAAAAUAUCAAAACGAUAAAUUCAAUUCUCUGCGAAAAUCAAAUUUGAAAAUUUUGGUAAAAUAGUUUCAAUACAAAUCGUGAUUCCGGCGAUGGGUGUUCGCAUACUUAUAAGUAUCGGAUAGUAUUUGGAUAGACCUCCACAAACAAUUAUUGGACCAUGGACGAAUACGUUGGAGGCCAAUUAAGGUUACGCCAUGGAUUACAAAUAAAAUUUAAAUGGGACCCAAAUCGUACCAGGAAGAUUUACGUUAAUAGAUUACAUUCUCGAAAUAACAUGUGCAAUGAAAUAAUGUACACCGCUUCCAAGCAAUGAAACAAUACAAAUACUAACAUACAAAUAUUUAUGUUUUUAUAGUACAAACAUAUGCAAGUUGGAGUAUUCAUACUCGUUUCAGCAAGUAAAACCACUACACCGCGCAACAAUAACAGCACUACACCACGCAACAAUAAUACCACUGAUCCCGCUAUUUUCACCAUAUUCUGAACAGUCCAUGUGACACUGGAUAGAAACAUUUUUCGGUAUAAAUCUUCUACUUGCAAAAAGAAAAACCGAGCAUCCCAGGAAGUGACGAAAGGAAGCAGUAAAAGCCGCCAAGAUAGGCGCUUCUUAAAUUAGGCUCGUUACAAAUGUUAUGAUCUAAAUAAAUCUACAAGCUUUUGUCUUAUGAAUUUAACAUCUUCGAACUACCAACUUUCAGCUUGAAACUCUAGUUUGCUUCACUAUCUUCCUCAACGAAAUCCAACUUUUAUUGGAAAACGAUUAAGUUUUUAUUGAGUUCUUCCAUUCUAUAACCAAAGCGUUGACAAACUCUGCUUAUCUUCUACUCUCUUCUAUGUUUUUCAAAAUGUAUGUAUGAUUGGUCAAUUUGAUAAAUAUUUGAUAAAAAACUGCAAAUUAAAUCUUACACAUAACUAGAAGAAUUGCCAUUGCCAUAACUAAAAAAUACAUUUUUAUGGAUUAUUUGACUGUCAGUUGCUGUUACCUUAAACUACCAAAAUAUCCGACAAUUUCAUGUUGAUUAUUGUGCUUCAUAUUUUAGCAGAAACUCAUUGUAUAAUCGGCUUAAAAAUACUGAUUUUUACUGUAUGCUUGCUGAAAAUUAUUUUUGACUUGUAUUUAUUGUUAUGCAAUAGACCGAUUAACUCAACUUAUUUAUCUACAUACAAAUCUAUCGCAACUGCACUUGGUAUUUAGGAAAUGUCCUUCGCAGUUUUUUCUAUUUAUCAUAUUUAUAUAUGUAUAACCAAAAUACCCCACCAAAACUUAGAAAAAAUUUAAAAAACCAUCUCACAAACAUGUUUUUUAUGUAUCGUCUGUCAAAUAAAAAACUUCAGCAUAACGAAUAUAUGUAUAAUCGUAAUAGGAAGUGGAAUUACCUUUGAAUUCUGCAAUAGGUAUAGCUAUACACUUGAACGGAACUCUUUUGAGAUAUGAAAGAUUAUAAACAACGUAUGAAGUGGUUGCACAGAAGCGCCGAAGAGAGGAGCCCCUCAGCCAAAGAGGCAACGCUCUCAAGAGACUCCUCGGUCAGCACCGAAGAGCUCCAGAGUUCUUCCAAGAAAUUCGUUCGCGCAGAUUGCCAGAAAAAGGACGCUGAUUGGCGUCCCGCACAAAGGCAACGCGGACUCCAAGAUUCCAAGAAACCCAGAUUUAAGAAUCGGAAGAUGUGGUCGAAUAACUUUGAAUGAAGGGGAAAUUUGGAUUGGCAAAGAAUGUGCCAAUACUUUAGGAUGCCUUACACAAACAGCAUUGCUAUGGUAGUUAUCGCAUUUGUUCGAGUACAAUUACAUUACCAAAACAGUAACUUCCAAUCCCAUAUGUACUUCCUAUAUUGCAUGCAGAAUAUAUUGUAAAAUGAUUAUUAUAAAAUGUAAAUUGCAUUAAUUACCAUUCCAGUUGCAUUGCAGUGCAAAGUUCAUCCUCCAAGAAAUGCUUGUUUUGUGGUUUCCAUUGUGCUUCGUCCUAGAUCAGCUACACAAUACCAGCAAGACACUAUGGACAUGUUAAAUGUUAUCCAAAAUAAUCAAAACAAUAUUUUCUCUGUGGUAACAAGCUUACAAUUUUGUUUGAUCAUAUUACCUUAAGCGUAGCUUUCUCAAGCUGAUAGCGAACACUAUUGGAUAUUUUUCCUUUAUUGUAUUACAAUUAAUAUUCAAAAAUACUAAAGCUUGCUGUCCGCUUGGUUUGAAAUGCCUUUAUUGGAACACACUAGAUCAAAAGUUGUACUCCCAUUCUAAUCACCUGUGAUUAGAGCAGCACUUCAACACACAAAUAUUUUAUGAACUCAACAAUGGAACGUAUUGAAAACUAUUUUAUAUUUCCACUAGAGGGCAAGCUCCCUGCUAACUCGGUUCGCUCGUGCAGAAACCACCGAUAAAAUAAAAUUGGCGACGACGCCACAAUAGAGAUAAUUCUGUAACGAAGAUUAACUGAAUUUUAAUGAUUUACCAGUAUAAUCGUAUACACUAGAUAUCAAUAUGUGACUUCGUACUCUAUAACGAUUCCAACUGAUAUGUAUAAAUGUUUUUUGGUGUUUUAGAAUGAACUCAUAGUUUUGUAAAUUAAACUAUUUUAUUGAUUUUAUAUAGCACAGAAACAAAACUUUCAUUAACAAUGCUUCCGUACUUGUUAUAGAACUCCUAUUAUACAGAAAUCUCAUGCACAAAUCAUGUACAUAUAAAUCAUAAAACCACGUAACAAAAAUUGUUUAAAGAAGUCACGGUAACAUGUCUAAAUCUAAAAAUCUGCAAAAAUCAACUGAUCAAAUUUAUCAAAUCCUAUGAAAACAAGAGAUCCUAUCCUAUCGCAAGAGAUCUGCUGUGGUAAAUAUUAUAUAAAUAUUAUGAGCCUUGCAUCGGAUUAUAAAUGUAUACAAGGCUUUCCCCAUCCUCAAUCUAAACAUCUCUACCCUAAGAAGGGCCCAAUCUAAAAAGGAACCUAUACUACCUAUAUGAUUGCCAAACAAAUUUAACGUAUAUCUAAAUGAGAUUUCGAAAUGCAUUAUCUAAACUCUGAUGGUUCAGAAGACCAUAUCAAAGCUGACCAUAUUAUUUAUCACUGAAAUACUCUGAACCCAGUCUCAGGGGCUGUAUAUUGAUAAGGUCUUAAAGGUCUUAUUAAAAAAUUGAAAUGUUUAUAAGAUAAUAAUUUGUAGGCGAGGAACGAUUUCACAGUAGUUGAUUUAUUUAAAUAUAACCUCUACCACCGCUCGGACCACUAAUAUUGGGAAUGCAUUGAAUUAAUUAAAUCACCAAUGGGAAGCAAUGAACAAAUCCAAAAUCCAAAUAUAUGAGUAAAUUUUGUAUCUAAACAAGUAUAACAUUGCAUUUUAAAUGGUAGACGUGUGUUCGUAUUGCAGUUCUGACGCUCUUUCCUAACUAACCUAUCGGUCCCUUAAAUCUACUCUUAAUACAAAAUAGAUCGGGUGCGUAAAAAUGUUUUCAAUAUGGUUUUGAUCUCUUGAACAAUAUGAGACUCUUAUGAUAUUUUUCUAUCCCUUAUAUAUAACUUACCCUUCUACACAACGACCAUAUCCCCAUCUCUUCUUGACCGAAAUCAACCCCGGAAUCAACUGUCAUAACAUAUUUGAGGAUAGGGACUUUUAUGUUAUCUAUACAAUCUUAUGGCUAAGAACCACAUUCCCUCGUGUCAUACGACAAAUAUAUAUGAUUUUCCACUAUAAUAGGUAGGAAUUUUAGCUCACUAAAAUAGGUAGGGUGCGUACAAAUAUUUAAAAAAAUGUUUUGAUCAGUUUGAGACGACGAAUUAAUUUACAGGCAGUGACCUCUCAACCUUAUCGGUAGGGAGGGACUCUUAUUAUAUUUAUAUGAUCGUACAGUAAUACCCAUUUUCCCUCGAGACUUAAGCUCUUCGAUACCAACCAUCUCUCCAUCUCUUCUUGACCGAAAUGAAUUUCCGAAUCAACUGACAUAUUUGAGGAUAGGGAUUCCUAUGUUAUCUAUACAAUCUUAUGGCUGAGAACCACAUUCCCUCGUGUCAUACGACAAAUAUAUAUGAUUUUCCACUAUAAUAGGUAGGAAGUGUAGCUCACUAAAAUAGGUAGGGUGCGUACAAAUGUUUUAAAGAUGGUUGGAUAUUGAUUUCUCAACCUUAAUCUUAAGAUUUGCGGCUACGGACUCUUGUUAUCUAUGAUUUGACCCCGUACCGAUUUACCUCGUAUCAUACAACAAGGAUAUGGUAUUCUUAACCAUAAUAGGUAGGAAUUAGCUAACCAAAAUAGGUAGGGUGCGUACAAAUAGUUUAAGGAGAGAGCAGGAAUUAAUUUACGGAAUGUGAUUUCUCAACAUAAUCAAUCCCUCUGAUAUACCUCUUAUGAUAAUUUGAUGUUCUUAUAUUAAUACCAUCUUAUAUAUGUAUCUCCAUCUCUGCUUGGCCGAAAUGAACCCCGGAUGUAUAAUCCCCAAUCUUUCCUUGAUCUGAAUGAAAACGCAGUUAUGUUGACAAAUAUUACUUUAUAGCUACCACAAAUGAAUGAUUUUAUAAAAUUUGUUGAUGCAAAGUAGGCAGGGCUCAUAAUAGCAUUCAUGUGAUUUGUGUUUAAGUGAAUACGUCAAAAUAUCAAAACGAUAAAUUCAAUUCUCUGCGAAAAUCAAAUUUGAAAAUUUUGGUAAAAUAGUUUCAAUACAAAUCGUGAUUCCGGCGAUGGGUGUUCGCAUACUUAUAAGUAUCGGAUAGUAUUUGGAUAGACCUCCACAAACAAUUAUUGGACCAUGGACGAAUACGUUGGAGGCCAAUUAAGGUUACGCCAUGGAUUACAAAGUAAAUAUGCCUUCUCCCGUGAAUUACAGAUAGGAAUUAUGCAAAGGCCAGACCAUGCAUUUAUUUUUCAAAAAUAAUCCAUCAAAAUAACUGUCUGAAGAAAUGGAUUAAAGUAUUAUAAUUCCAGUAAAAUUUAAAUGGGACCCAAAUCGUACCAGGAAGAUUUACGUUAAUAGAUUACAUUCUCGAAAUAAUAUGUGCAAUGAAAUAAUGUACACCGCUUCCAAGCAAUGAAACAAUACAAAUACUAACAUACAAAUAUUUAUGUUUUUAUAGUACAAACAUAUGCAAGUUGGAGUAUUCAUACUCGUUUCAGCAAGUAAAACCACUACACCGCGCAACAAUAACAGCACUACACCACGCAACAAUAAUACCACUGAUCCCGCUAUUUUCACCAUAUUCUGAACAGUCCAUGUGACACUGGAUAGAAACAUUUUUCGGUAUAAAUCUUCUACUUGCAAAAAUAAACCGAGCAUUCCAGGAAGUGACGAAAGGAAGCAGUAAAAGCCGCCAAGAUAGGCGCUCGUUAAAUUAGGCUCUUUACAAAUGUUAUGAUCUAAACAAAUCUACAAGCUUUUGUCUUAUGAAUUUAACAUCUUCGAACUACCAACUUUCAGCUUGAAACUCUAGUUUGCUUCACUAUCUUCCUCAACGCAAUCCAACUUUUAUUGGAAAACGAUUAAGUUUUUAUUGAGUUCUUCCAUUCUAUAACCAAAGCGUUGACAAACUCUGCUUAUCUUCUACUCUCUUCUAUGUUUUUCAAAAUGUAUGUAUGAUUGGUCAAUUUGAAAAAUAUUUGAUAAAAAACUGCAAAUUAAAUCUUACACAUAACUAGAAGAAUUGCCAUUGCCAUAACUAAACAAUACAUUUUUAUGGAUUAUUUGACUGUCAGUUGCUGUUACCUUAAACUACCAAAAUAUCCGACAAUUUCAUGUUGAUUAUUGUGCUUCAUAUUUUAGCAGAAACUCAUUGUAUAAUCGGCUUAAAAAUACUGAUUUUUACUGUAUGCUUGAUGAAAAUUAUUUUUUACUUGUAUUUAUUGUUAUGCAAUAGACCGAUUAACUCAACUUAUUUAUCUACAUACAAAUCUAUCGUACAAACAACGUAUGAAGUGGUUGCACAGAAGCGCCGAAGAGAGGAGCCCCUCAGCCAAAAAGGCAACGCUCUCAAGAGACUCCUCGGUCAGCACCGAAGAGCUCCAGAGUUCUUCCAAGAAAUUCGUUCGCGCAGAUUGCCAGAAAAAGGACGCUGAUUGGCGUCACGCACAAAGGCAACGCGGACUCCAAGAUUCCAAGAAACCCAGAUUUAAGAAUCGGAAGAUGUGGUCGAAUAACUUUGAAUGAAGGGGAAAUUUGGAUUGGCAAAGAAUGUGCCAAUACUUUAGGAUGCCUUACACAAACAGCAUUGCUAUGGUAGUUAUCGCAUUUGUUCGAGUACAAUUACAUUACCAAAACAGUAACUUCCAAUCCCAUAUGUACUUCCUAUAUUGCAUGCAGAAUAUAUUGUAAAAUGAUUAUUAUAAAAUGUAAAUUGGAUUAAUUACCAUUCCAGUUGCAUUGCAGUGCAAAGUUCAUCCUCCAAGAAAUGCUUGUUUUGUGGUUUCCAUUGUGCUUCGUCCUAGAUCAGCUACACAAUACCAGCAAGACACUAUGGACAUGUUAAAUGUUAUCCAAAAUAAUCAAAACAAUAUUUUCUCAGUGGUAACACGCUUACAAUUUUGUUUGAUCAUAUUACCUUAAGCGUAGCUUUCUCAAGCUGAUAGCGAACACUAUUGGAUAUUUUUCCUUUAUUGUAUUACAAUUAAUAUUCAAAAAUACUAAAGCUUGCUGUCCGCUUGGUUUGAAAUGCCUUUAUUGGAACACACUAGAUCAAAAGUUGUACUCCCAUUCUAAUCACCUGUGAUUAGAGCAGCACUUCAACACACAAAUAUUUUAUGAACUCAACAAUGGAACGUAUUGAAAACUAUUUUAUAUUUCCACUAGAGGGCAAGCUCCCUGCUAACUCGGUUCGCUCGUGCAGAAACCACCGAUAAAAUAAAAUUGGCGACGACGCCACAAUAGAGAUAAUUCUCUAACGAAGAUUAACUGAAUUUUAAUGAUUUACCAGUAUAAUCGUAUACACUAGAUAUCAAUAUGUGACUUCGUACUCUAUAACGAUUCCAACUGAUAUGUAUAAAUGUUUUUUGGUGUUUUAGAAUCAACUCAUAGUUUUGUAAAUGAAACUAUUUUAUUGAUUUUAUAUAGCACAGAAACAAAACUUUCAUUAACAAUGCUUCCGUACUUGUUAUAGAACUCCUAUUAUACAGAAAUCUCAUGCACAAAUCAUGUACAUAUAAAUCAUAAAACCACGUAACAAAAAUUGUUUAAAGAAGUCACGGUAACAUGUCUAAAUCUAAAAAUCUGCAAAAAUCAACUGAUCAAAUUUAUCAAAUCCUAUGAAAACAAGAGAUCCUAUCCUAUCGCAAGAGAUCUGCUGUGGUAAAUAUUAUAUAAAUAUUAUGAGCCUUGCAUCGGAUUAUAAAUGUAUACAACGCUUUCCCCAUCCUCAAUCUAAACAUCUCUACCCUAAGAAGGGCCCAAUCUAAAAAGGAACCUAUACUACCUAUAUGAUUGCCAAACAAAUUUAACGUAUAUCUAAAUGAGAUUUCGAAAUGCAUUAUCUAAACUCUGAUGGUUCAGAAGACCAUAUCAAAGCUGACCAUAUUAUUUAUCACUGAAAUACUCUGAACCCAGUCUCAGGGGCUGUAUAUUGAUAAGGUCUUAAAGGUCUUAUUAAAAAAUUGAAAUGUUUAUAAGAUAAUAAUUUGUAGGCGAGGAACGAUUUCACAGUAGUUGAUUUAUUUAAAUAUAACCUCUACCACCGCUCGGACCACUAAUAUUGGGAAUGCAUUGAAUUAAUUAAAUCACCAAUGGGAAGCAAUGAACAAAUCCAAAAUCCAAAUAUAUGAGUAAAUUUUGUAUCUAAACAAGUAUAACAUUGCAUUUUAAAUGGUAGACGUGUGUUCGUAUUGCAGUUCUGACGCUCUUUCCUAACUAACCUAUCGGUCCCUUAAAUCUACUCUUAAUACAAAAUAGAUCGGGUGCGUAAAAAUGUUUUCAAUAUGGUUUUGAUCUCUUGAACAAUAUGAGACUCUUAUGAUAUUUUUCUAUCCCUUAUAUAUAACUUACCCUUCUACACAACGACCAUAUCCCCAUCUCUUCUUGACCGAAAUCAACCCCGGAAUCAACUGUCAUAACAUAUUUGAGGAUAGGGACUUUUAUGUUAUCUAUACAAUCUUAUGGCUAAGAACCACAUUCCCUCGUGUCAUACGACAAAUAUAUAUGAUUUUCCACUAUAAUAGGUAGGAAUUUUAGCUCACUUAAAUAGGUAGGGUGCGUACAAAUAUUUAAAAAAAUGUUUUGAUCAGUUUGAGACGACGAAUUAAUUUACAGGCAGUGACCUCUCAACCUUAUCGGUAGGGAGGGACUCUUAUUAUAUUUAUAUGAUCGUACAGUAAUACCCAUUUUCCCUCGAGACUUAAGCUCUUCGAUACCAACCAUCUCUCCAUCUCUUCUUGACCGAAAUGAAUUUCCGAAUCAACUGACAUAUUUGAGGAUAGGGAUUCCUAUGUUAUCUAUACAAUCUUAUGGCUGAGAACCACAUUCCCUCGUGUCAUACGACAAAUAUAUAUGAUUUUCCACUAUAAUAGGUAGGAAGUGUAGCUCACUAAAAUAGGUAGGGUGCGUACAAAUGUUUUAAAGAUGGUUGGAUAUUGAUUUCUCAACCUUAAUCUUAAGAUUUGCGGCUACGGACUCUUGUUAUCUAUGAUUUGACCCCGUACCGAUUUACCUCGUAUCAUACAACAAGGAUAUGGUAUUCUUAACCAUAAUAGGUAGGAAUUAGCUAACCAAAAUAGGUAGGGUGCGUACAAAUAGUUUAAGGAGAGAGCAGGAAUUAAUUUACGGAAUGUGAUUUCUCAACAUCAUCAACCCCUCUGAUAUACCUCUUAUGAUAAUUUUAUGUUCUUAUAUUAAUACCAUCUUAUAUAUCUCCAUCUCUGCUUGACCGAAAUGAACCCCGGAUUUAUAAUUCCCAAUCUUUCCUUGAUCUGAAUGAAAACGGGGAUAUGUUGACAAAUAUUACUUUAUAGCUACCACAAAUGAAUGAUUUUAUAAAAUUUGUUGAAGCAAAGUAGGCAGGGCUCAUAAUAGCAUUCAUGUGAUUUGUGUUUAAGUGAAUACGUCAAAAUAUCAAAACGAUAAAUUCAAUUCUCUGCGAAAAUCAAAUUUGAAAAUUUUGGUAAAAUAGUUUCAAUACAAAUCGUGAUUCCGGCGAUGGGUGUUCGCAUACUUAUAAGUAUCGGAUAGUAUUUGGAUAGACCUCCACAAACAAUUAUUGGACCAUGGACGAAUACGUUGGAGGCCAAUUAAGGUUACGCCAUGGAUUACAAAGUAAAUAUGCCUUCUCCCGUGAAUUACAGAUAGGAAUUAUGCAAAGGCCAGACCAUGCAUUUAUUUUUCAAAAAUAAUCCAUCAAAAUAACUGUCUGAAGAAAUGGAUUAAAGUAUUAUAAUUCCAGUAAAAUUUAAAUGGGACCCAAAUCGUACCAGGAAGAUUUACGUUAAUAGAUUACAUUCUCGAAAUAACAUGUGCAAUGAAAUAAUGUACACCGCUUCCAAGCAAUGAAACAAUACAAAUACUAACAUACAAAUAUUUAUGUUUUUAUAGUACAAACAUAUGCAAGUUGGAGUAUUCAUACUCGUGCCAGCAAGUAAAACCACUACACCGCGCAACAAUAACAGCACUACACCACGCAACAAUAAUACCACUGAUCCCGCUAUUUUCACCAUAUUCUGAACAGUCCAUGUGACACUGGAUAGAAACAUUUUUCGGUAUAAAUCUUCUACUUGCAAAAAUAAACCGAGCAUUUCAGGAAGUGACGAAAGGAAGCAGUAAAAGCCGCCAAGAUAGGCGCUCGUUAAAUUAGGCUCGUUACAAAUGUUAUGAUCUAAACAAAUCUACAAGCUUUUGUCUUAUGAAUUUAACAUCUUCGAACUACCAACUUUCAGCUUGAAACUCUAGUUUGCUUCACUAUCUUCCUCAACGCAAUCCAACUUUUAUUGGAAAACGAUUAAGUUUUUAUUGAGUUCUUCCAUUCUAUAACCAAAGCGUUGACAAACUCUGCUUAUCUUCUACUCUCUUCUAUGUUUUUCAAAAUGUAUGUAUGAUUGGUCAAUUUGAAAAAUAUUUGAUAAAAAACUGCAAAUUAAAUCUUACACAUAACUAGAAGAAUUGCCAUUGCCAUAACUAAACAAUACAUUUUUAUGGAUUAUUUGACUGUCAGUUGCUGUUACCUUAAACUACCAAAAUAUCCGACAAUUUCAUGUUGAUUAUUGUGCUUCAUAUUUUAGCAGAAACUCAUUGUAUAAUCGGCUUAAAAAUACUGAUUUUUACUGUAUGCUUGAUGAAAAUUAUUUUUGACUUGUAUUUAUUGUUAUGCAAUAGACCGAUUAACUCAACUUAUUUAUCUACAUACAAAUCUAUCGUACAAACAACGUAUGAAGUGGUUGCACAGAAGCGCCGAAGAGAGGAGCCCCUCAGCCAAAAAGGCAACGCUCUCAAGAGACUCCUCGGUCAGCACCGAAGAGCUCCAGAGUUCUUCCAAGAAAUUCGUUCGCGCAGAUUGCCAGAAAAAGGACGCUGAUUGGCGUCACGCACAAAGGCAACGCGGACUCCAAGAUUCCAAGAAACCCAGAUUUAAGAAUCGGAAGAUGUGGUCGAAUAACUUUGAAUGAAGGGGAAAUUUGGAUUGGCAAAGAAUGUGCCAAUACUUUAGGAUGCCUUACACAAACAGCAUUGCUAUGGUAGUUAUCGCAUUUGUUCGAGUACAAUUACAUUACCAAAACAGUAACUUCCAAUCCCAUAUGUACUUCCUAUAUUGCAUGCAGAAUAUAUUGUAAAAUGAUUAUUAUAAAAUGUAAAUUGCAUUAAUUACCAUUCCAGUUGCAUUGCAGUGCAAAGUUCAUCCUCCAAGAAAUGCUUGUUUUGUGGUUUCCAUUGUGCUUCGUCCUAGAUCAGCUACACAAUACCAGCAAGACACUAUGGACAUGUUAAAUGUUAUCCAAAAUAAUCAAAACAAUAUUUUCUCAGUGGUAACACGCUUACAAUUUUGUUUGAUCAUAUUACCUUAAGCGUAGCUUUCUCAAGCUGAUAGCGAACACUAUUGGAUAUUUUUCCUUUAUUGUAUUACAAUUAAUAUUCAAAAAUACUAAAGCUUGCUGUCCGCUUGGUUUGAAAUGCCUUUAUUGGAACACACUAGAUCAAAAGUUGUACUCCCAUUCUAAUCACCUGUGAUUAGAGCAGCACUUCAACACACAAAUAUUUUAUGAACUCAACAAUGGAACGUAUUGAAAACUAUUUUAUAUUUCCACUAGAGGGCAAGCUCCCUGCUAACUCGGUUCGCUCGUGCAGAAACCACCGAUAAAAUAAAAUUGGCGACGACGCCACAAUAGAGAUAAUUCUCUAACGAAGAUUAACUGAAUUUUAAUGAUUUACCAGUAUAAUCGUAUACACUAGAUAUCAAUAUGUGACUUCGUACUCUAUAACGAUUCCAACUGAUAUGUAUAAAUGUUUUUUGGUGUUUUAGAAUCAACUCAUAGUUUUGUAAAUGAAACUAUUUUAUUGAUUUUAUAUAGCACAGAAACAAAACUUUCAUUAACAAUGCUUCCGUACUUGUUAUAGAACUCCUAUUAUACAGAAAUCUCAUGCACAAAUCAUGUACAUAUAAAUCAUAAAACCACGUAACAAAAAUUGUUUAAAGAAGUCACGGUAACAUGUCUAAAUCUAAAAAUCUGCAAAAAUCAACUGAUCAAAUUUAUCAAAUCCUAUGAAAACAAGAGAUCCUAUCCUAUCGCAAGAGAUCUGCUGUGGUAAAUAUUAUAUAAAUAUUAUGAGCCUUGCAUCGGAUUAUAAAUGUAUACAAGGCUUUCCCCAUCCUCAAUCUAAACAUCUCUACCCUAAGAAGGGCCCAAUCUAAAAAGGAACCUAUACUACCUAUAUUAUUGCCAAACAAAUUUAACGUAUAUCUAAAUGAGAUUUCGAAAUGCAUUAUCUAAACUCUGAUGGUUCAGAAGACCAUAUCAAAGCUGACCAUAUUAUUUAUCACUGAAAUACUCUGAACCCAGUCUCAGGGGCUGUAUAUUGAUAAGGUCUUAAAGGUCUUAUUAAAAAAUUGAAAUGUUUAUAAGAUAAUAAUUUGUAGGCGAGGAACGAUUUCACAGUAGUUGAUUUAUUUAAAUAUAACCUCUACCACCGCUCGGACCACUAAUAUUGGGAAUGCAUUGAAUUAAUUAAAUCACCAAUGGGAAGCAAUGAACAAAUCCAAAAUCCAAAUAUAUGAGUAAAUUUUGUAUCUAAACAAGUAUAACAUUGCAUUUUAAAUGGUAGACGUGUGUUCGUAUUGCAGUUCUGACGCUCUUUCCUAACUAACCUAUCGGUCCCUAAAAUCUACUCUUAAUACAAAAUAGAUCGGGUGCGUAAAAAUGUUUUCAAUAUGGUUUUGAUCUCUUGAACAAUAUGAGACUCUUAUGAUAUUUUUCUAUCCCUUAUAUAUAACUUACCCUUCUACACAACGACCAUAUCCCCAUCUCUUCUUGACCGAAAUCAACCCCGGAAUCAACUGUCAUAACAUAUUUAUGUUAUCUAUACAAUCUUAUGGCUAAGAACCGUAUUCCCUCGUGUCAUACGACAAAUAUAUAUGAUUUUCCACUAUAAUAGGUAGGAAUUUUAGCUCACUAAAAUAGGUAGGGUGCGUACAAACAUUUAAAAAAAUGUUUUGAUCAGUUUGAGACGACGAAUUAAUUUACAGGCAGUGACCUCUCAACCUUAUCGGAAGGGAGGGACUCUUAUUAUAUUUAUAUGAUCGUACAGUAAUACCCAUUUUCCCUCGAGACUUAAGCUCUUCGAUACCAACCAUCUCUCCAUCUCUUCUUGACCGAAAUGAAUUUCCGAAUCAACUGACAUAUUUGAGGAUAGGGAUUCCUAUGUUAUCUAUACAAUCUUAUGGCUAAGAACCACAUUCCCUAGUGUCAUACGACAAAUGUAUAAGAUUUUCCACUAUAAUAUGUAGGAAUUUUAGCUCACUAAAAUAGGUAGGAUGCGUACAAAUAUUUAAAAAAAUGUUUUGAUCUUUUGAUCAGUAUGAGACGACGAAUUAAUUUACAGGCAGUGACCUCUCAACAUUAUUGGUAGGGAGGGACUCUUAUUAUAUUUAUAUGAUCGUACAGUAAUACCCAUUUUCCCUCGAGACUUAAGCUCUUCGAUACCAACCAUUUCUCCAUCUCUUCUUGACCGAAAUGAAUUUCCGAAUCAACUGACAUAUUUGAGGAUAGGGAUUCCUAUGUUAUCUAUACAAUCUUAUGGCUAAGAACCACAUUCCCUCGUGUCAUACGACAAAUGUAUAAGAUUUUCCAUUAUAUAGGUAGGAAUUUAGCUCACUAAAAUAGGUAGGGUGCGUACAAAUAUUUAAAAAAAUGUUUUGAUCUUUUGAUCAGUAUGAGACGACGAAUUAAUUUAUAGGCAGUGACCUCUCAACAUUAUUGGUAGGGAGGGACUCUUAUUAUAUUUAUAUGAUCGUACAGUAAUACCCAUUUUCCCUCGAGACUUAAGCUCUUCGAUACCAACCAUCUCUCCAUCUCUUCUUGACCGAAAUGAAUUUCCGAAUCAACUGACAUAUUUGAGGAUAGGGAUUCCUAUGUUAUCUAUACAAUCUUAUGGCUAAGAACCACAUUCCCUCGUGUCAUACGACAAAUAUAUAUGAUUUUCCACUAUAAUAGGUAGGAAGUGUAGCUCACUAUAAUAGGCAGGGUGCGUACAAAUGUUUAAAAAAAUGUUUUGAUCUUUUGAUCAGUAUGAGACGACGAAUUAAUUUACAGGCAGUGACCUCUCAACAUUAUUGGUAGGGAGGGACUCUUAUUAUAUUUAUAUGAUCGUACAGUAAUACCCAUUUUCCCUCGAGACUUAAGCUCUUCGAUACCAACCAUCUCUCCAUCUCUUCUUGACCGAAAUGAAUUUCCGAAUCAACUGACAUAUUUGAGGAUAGGGAUUCUUAUGUUAUCUAUACAAUCUUAUGGCUAAGAACCGUAUUCCCUCGUGUCAUACGACAAAUAUAUAUGAUUUUCCACUAUAAUAGGUAGGAAUUUUAGCUCACUAAAAUAGGUAGGGUGCGUACAAACAUUUAAAAAAAUGUUUUGAUCAGUUUGAGACGACGAAUUAAUUUACAGGCAGUGACCUCUCAACCUUAUCGGAAGGGAGGGACUCUUAUUAUAUUUAUAUGAUCGUACAGUAAUACCCAUUUUCCCUCGAGACUUAAGCUCUUCGAUACCAACCAUCUCUCCAUCUCUUCUUGACCGAAAUGAAUUUCCGAAUCAACUGACAUAUUUGAGGAUAGGGAUUCCUAUGUUAUCUAUACAAUCUUAUGGCUAAGAACCACAUUCCCUAGUGUCAUACGACAAAUGUAUAAGAUUUUCCACUAUAAUAUGUAGGAAUUUUAGCUCACUAAAAUAGGUAGGAUGCGUACAAAUAUUUAAAAAAUUUUUUUGAUCUUUUGAUCAGUAUGAGACGACGAAUUAAUUUACAGGCAGUGACCUCUCAACAUUAUUGGUAGGGAGGGACUCUUAUUAUAUUUAUAUGAUCGUACAGUAAUACCCAUUUUCCCUCGAGACUUAAGCUCUUCGAUACCAACCAUUUCUCCAUCUCUUCUUGACCGAAAUGAAUUUCCGAAUCAACUGACAUAUUUGAGGAUAGGGAUUCCUAUGUUAUCUAUACAAUCUUAUGGCUAAGAACCACAUUCCCUCGUGUCAUACGACAAAUAUAUAUGAUUUUCCACUAUAAUAGGUAGGAAGUGUAGCUCACUAUAAUAGGCAGGGUGCGUACAAAUGUUUAAAAAAAUGUUUUGAUCUUUUGAUCAGUAUGAGACGACGAAUUAAUUUACAGGCAGUGACCUCUCAACAUUAUUGGUAGGGAGGGACUCUUAUUAUAUUUAUAUGAUCGUACAGUAGUACCCAUUUUCCCUCGAGACUUAAGCUCUUCGAUACCAACCAUCUCUCCAUCUCUUCUUGACCGAAAUGAAUUUCCGAAUCAACUGACAUAUUUGAGGAUAGGGAUUCCUAUGUUAUCUAUACAAUCUUAUGGCUAAGAACCGUAUUCCCUCGUGUCAUACGACAAAUAUAUAUGAUUUUCCACUAUAAUAGGUAGGAAUUUUAGCUCACUAAAAUAGGUAGGGUGCGUACAAACAUUUAAAAAAAUGUUUUGAUCAGUUUGAGACGACGAAUUAAUUUACAGGCAGUGACCUCUCAACCUUAUCGGAAGGGAGGGACUCUUAUUAUAUUUAUAUGAUCGUACAGUAAUACCCAUUUUCCCUCGAGACUUAAGCUCUUCGAUACCAACCAUCUCUCCAUCUCUUCUUGACCGAAAUGAAUUUCCGAAUCAACUGACAUAUUUGAGGAUAGGGAUUCCUAUGUUAUCUAUACAAUCUUAUGGCUAAGAACCACAUUCCCUAGUGUCAUACGACAAAUGUAUAAGAUUUUCCACUAUAAUAUGUAGGAAUUUUAGCUCACUAAAAUAGGUAGGAUGCGUACAAAUAUUUAAAAAAAUUUUUUGAUCUUUUGAUCAGUAUGAGACGACGAAUUAAUUUACAGGCAGUGACCUCUCAACAUUAUUGGUAGGGAGGGACUCUUAUUAUAUUUAUAUGAUCGUACAGUAAUACCCAUUUUCCCUCGAGACUUAAGCUCUUCGAUACCAACCAUUUCUCCAUCUCUUCUUGACCGAAAUGAAUUUCCGAAUCAACUGACAUAUUUGAGGAUAGGGAUUCCUAUGUUAUCUAUACAAUCUUAUGGCUAAGAACCACAUUCCCUCGUGUCAUACGACAAAUGUAUAAGAUUUUCCAUUAUAUAGGUAGGAAUUUAGCUCACUAAAAUAGGUAGGGUGCGUACAAAUAUUUAAAAAAAUGUUUUGAUCUUUUGAUCAGUAUGAGACGACGAAUUAAUUUAUAGGCAGUGACCUCUCAACAUUAUUGGUAGGGAGGGACUCUUAUUAUAUUUAUAUGAUCGUACAGUAAUACCCAUUUUCCCUCGAGACUUAAGCUCUUCGAUACCAACCAUCUCUCCAUCUCUUCUUGACCGAAAUGAAUUUCCGAAUCAACUGACAUAUUUGAUGAUAGGGAUUCCUAUGUUAUCUAUACAAUCUUAUGGCUAAGAACCACAUUCCCUCGUGUCAUACGACAAAUAUAUAUGAUUUUCCACUAUAAUAGGUAGGAAGUGUAGCUCACUAUAAUAGGCAGGGUGCGUACAAAUGUUUAAAAAAAUGUUUUGAUCUUUUGAUCAGUAUGAGACGACGAAUUAAUUUACAGGCAGUGACCUCUCAACAUUAUUGGUAGGGAGGGACUCUUAUUAUAUUUAUAUGAUCGUACAGUAAUACCCAUUUUCCCUCGAGACUUAAGCUCUUCGAUACCAACCAUCUCUCCAUCUCUUCUUGACCGAAAUGAAUUUCCGAAUCAACUGACAUAUUUGAGGAUAGGGAUUCCUAUGUUAUCUAUACAAUCUUAUGGCUAAGAACCACAUUCCCUAGUGUCAUACGACAAAUGUAUAAGAUUUUCCACUAUAAUAUGUAGGAAUUUUAGCUCACUAAAAUAGGUAGGAUGCGUACAAAUAUUUAAAAAAAUGUUUUGAUCUUUUGAUCAGUAUGAGACGACGAAUUAAUUUAUAGGCAGUGACCUCUCAACAUUAUUGGUAGGGAGGGACUCUUAUUAUAUUUAUAUGAUCGUACAGUAAUACCCAUUUUCCCUCGAGACUUAAGCUCUUCGAUACCAACCAUUUCUCCAUCUCUUCUUGACCGAAAUGUAUUUCCGAAUCAACUGACAUAUUUGAGGAUAGGGAUUCCUAUGUUAUCUAUACAAUCUUAUGGCUAAGAACCACAUUCCCUAGUGUCAUACGACAAAUGUAUAAGAUUUUCCACUAUAAUAUGUAGGAAUUUUAGCUCACUAAAAUAGGUAGGAUGCGUACAAAUAUUUAAAAAAAUGUUUUGAUCUUUUGAUCAGUAUGAGACGACGAAUUAAUUUACAGGCAGUGACCUCUCAACAUUAUUGGUAGGGAGGGACUCUUAUUAUAUUUAUAUGAUCGUACAGUAAUACCCAUUUUCCCUCGAGACUUAAGCUCUUCGAUACCAACCAUUUCUCCAUCUCUUCUUGACCGAAAUGAAUUUCCGAAUCAACUGACAUAUUUGAGGAUAGGGAUUCCUAUGUUAUCUAUACAAUCUUAUGGCUAAGAACCACAUUCCCUCGUGUCAUACGACAAAUGUAUAAGAUUUUCCAUUAUAUAGGUAGGAAUUUAGCUCACUAAAAUAGGUAAGGUGCGUACAAAUAUUUAAAAAAAUGUUUUGAUCAGUUUGGGACGACGAAUUAAUUUACAGGCAGUGACCUCUCAACAUUAUUGGUAGGGAGGGACUCUUAUUAUAUUUAUAUGAUCGUACAGUAAUACCCAUUUUCCCUCGAGACUUAAGCUCUUCGAUACCAACCAUCUCUCCAUCUCUUCUUGACCGAAAUGUAUUUCCGAAUCAACUGACAUAUUUGAGGAUAGGGAUUCCUAUGUUAUCUAUACAAUCUUAUGGCUAAGAACCACAUUCCCUAGUGUCAUACGACAAAUGUAUAAGAUUUUCCACUAUAAUAUGUAGGAAUUUUAGCUCACUAAAAUAGGUAGGAUGCGUACAAAUAUUUAAAAAAAUGUUUUGAUCUUUUGAUCAGUAUGAGACGACGAAUUAAUUUACAGGCAGUGACCUCUCAACAUUAUUGGAAGGGAGGGACUCUUAUUAUAUUUAUAUGAUCGUACAGUAAUACCCAUUUUCCCUCGAGACUUAAGCUCUUCGAUACCAACCAUUUCUCCAUCUCUUCUUGACCGAAAUGAAUUUCCGAAUCAACUGACAUAUUUGAGGAUAGGGAUUCCUAUAUUAUCUAUACAAUCUUAUGGCUAAGAACCACAUUCCCUCGUGUCAUACGACAAAUGUAUAAGAUUUUCCACUAUAAUAGGUAGGAAGUGUAUCUCACUAAAAUAGGUAAGGUGCGUACAAAUGUUUUAAAGAUGUUUUUGAUCUCUAGAUCACUCUGAGGCGAAGAAAUUAUUAACGGAUAUUGAUUUCUCAACCUUAAUCUUAAGAUUUGCGGCUACGGACUCUUGUUAUCUAUGAUUUGACCCCGUACCGAUUUACCUCGUAUCAUACAACAAGGAUAUGGUUUUCUUAACCAUAAUAGGUAGGAAUUAGCUAACCAAAAUAGGUAGGGUGCGUACAAAUAGUUUAAGGAGAGAGCAGGAAUUAAUUUACGGAAUGUGAUUUCUCAACAUCAUCAAUCCCUCUGAUAUACCUCUUAUGAUAAUUUGAUGUUCUUAUAUUAAUACCAUCUUAUAUAUGUAUCUCCAUCUCUGCUUGGCCGAAAUGAACCCCGGAUGUAUAAUCCCCAAUCUUUCCUUGAUCUGAAUGAAAACGGGGAUAUGUUGACAAAUAUUACUUUAUAGCUACCACAAAUGAAUGAUUUUAUAAAAUUUGUUGAAGCAAAGUAGGCAGGGCUCAUAAUAGCAUUCAUGUGAUUUGUGUUUAAGUGAAUACGUCAAAAUAUCAAAACGAUAAAUUCAAUUCUCUGCGAAAAUCAAAUUUGAAAAUUUUGGUAAAAUAGUUUCAAUACAAAUCGUGAUUCCGGCGAUGGGUGUUCGCAUACUUAUAAGUAUCGGAUAGUAUUUGGAUAGACCUCCACAAACAAUUAUUGGACCAUGGACGAAUACGUUGGAGGCCAAUUAAGGUUACGCCAUGGAUUACAAAGUAAAUAUGCCUUCUCCCGUGAAUUACAGAUAGGAAUUAUGCAAAGGCCAGACCAUGCAUUUAUUUUUCAAAAAUAAUCCAUCAAAAUAACUGUCUGAAGAAAUGGAUUAAAGUAUUAUAAUUCCAGUAAAAUUUAAAUGGGACCCAAAUCGUACCAGGAAGAUUUACGUUAAUAGAUUACAUUCUCGAAAUAACAUGUGCAAUGAAAUAAUGUACACCGCUUCCAAGCAAUGAAACAAUACAAAUACUAACAUACAAAUAUUUAUGUUUUUAUAGUACAAACAUAUGCAAGUUGGAGUAUUCAUACUCGUUUCAGCAAGUAAAACCACUACACCGCGCAACAAUAACAGCACUACACCACGCAACAAUAAUACCACUGAUCCCGCUAUUUUCACCAUAUUCUGAACAGUCCAUGUGACACUGGAUAGAAACAUUUUUCGGUAUAAAUCUUCUACUUGCAAAAAGAAAAACCGAGCAUCCCAGGAAGUGACGAAAGGAAGCAGUAAAAGCCGCCAAGAUAGGCGCUUCUUAAAUUAGGCUCGUUACAAAUGUUAUGAUCUAAAUAAAUCUACAAGCUUUUGUCUUAUGAAUUUAACAUCUUCGAACUACCAACUUUCAGCUUGAAACUCUAGUUUGCUUCACUAUCUUCCUCAACGAAAUCCAACUUUUAUUGGAAAACGAUUAAGUUUUUAUUGAGUUCUUCCAUUCUAUAACCAAAGCGUUGACAAACUCUGCUUAUCUUCUACUCUCUUCUAUGUUUUUCAAAAUAACUCCUAUUAUACAGAAAUCUCAUGCACAAAUCAUGUACAUAUAAAUCAUAAAACCACGUAACAAAAAUUGUUUAAAGAAGUCACGGUAACAUGUCUAAAUCUAAAAAUCUGCAAAAAUCAACUGAUCAAAUUUAUCAAAUCCUAUGAAAACAAGAGAUCCUAUCCUAUCGCAAGAGAUCUGCUGUGGUAAAUAUUAUAUAAAUUUUAUGAGCCUUGCAUCGGAUUAUAAAUGUAUACAAGGCUUUCCCCAUCCUCAAUCUAAACAUCUCUACCCUAAGAAGGGCCCAAUCUAAAAAGGAACCUAUACUACCUAUAUGAUUGCCAAACAAAUUUAACGUAUAUCUAAAUGAGAUUUCGAAAUGCAUUAUCUAAACUCUGAUGGUUCAGAAGACCAUAUCAAAGCUGACCAUAUUAUUUAUCACUGAAAUACUCUGAACCCAGUCUCAGGGGCUGUAUAUUGAUAAGGUCUUCCUACUACAGAUAUUAAAAAAUUGAAAUAUUUAUAAGACAAUAAUUUGUAUACGAGGAACGAUUUCACAGUAGUUGAUUUAUUUUAAUAUAACCUCUACCACCGCACGGACUACUAAUAUUGGGAAUGCAUUGAAUUAAUUAAAUCACCAAUGGGAAGCAAUGAAAAAAUCCAAAGUACGAUAUGAGUACAUUUUUUAUCUAAACAAGUAUAACAUUGCAUUUUAAAUGGUAGACGUGUGUUCGUAUUGCAGUUCUGACGCUCUUUCCUAACUAACCUAUCGGUCCCUUCAAUCUAAUCUUAAUACAAAAUAGAUCGGGUGCGUAAAAAUGUUUUCAAUAUGGUUUUGAUCUCUUGAACAAUAUGAGACUCUUAUGAUAUUUAUCUAUCCCUUAUAUAUAACUUACCCUUCUACACAACGACCAUAUCCCCAUCUCUUCUUGACCGAAAUCAACCCCGGAAUCAACUGUCAUAACAUAUUUGAGGAUAGGGACUCCUAUGUUAUCUAUACAAUCUUAUGGCUAAGAACCACAUUCCCUAGUGUCAUACGACAAAUGUAUAUGAUUUUCCACUAUAAUAGGUAGGAAUUUUAGCUCACUAAAAUAGGUAGGAUGCGUACAAAUAUUUAAAAAAAUGUUUUGAUCUUUUGAUCAGUAUGAGACGACGAAUUAAUUUACAGGCAGUGACCUCUCAACAUUAUUGGUUGGGGGGGACUCUUAUUAUAUUUAUAUGAUCGUACUGUAAUACCCAUUUUCCCACGAGACUUAAGCUCUUCGAUACCAACCAUCUCUCCAUAUCUUCUUGACCGAAAUGAAUUUCCGAAUCAACUGACAUAUUUGAGGAUAGGGAUUCCUAUGUUAUCUAUACAAUCUUAUGGCUAAGAACCACAUUCCCUCGUGUCAUACGACAAAUAUAUAUGAUUUUCCACUAUAAUAGGUAGGAUGUGUAGCUCACUAUAAUAGGCAGGGUGCGUCAAAAUGUUUUAAAGAUGGUUCUGAUCUCUUGAUUAACGGAUAUUGAUUUCUCAACCUUAAUCUUAAGAUUUGCGGCUACGGACUCUUGUUAUCUAUGAUUUGACCCCGUACCGAUUUACCUCGUAUCAUACAACAAGGAUAUGGUUUUCUUAACCAUAAUAGGUAGGAAUUAGCUAACCAAAAUAGGUAGGGUGCGUACAAAUAGUUUAAGGAGAGAGCAGGAAUUAAUUUACGGAAUGUGAUUUCUCAACAUCAUCAAUCCCUCUGAUAUACCUCUUAUGAUAAUUUUAUGUUUUUAUAUUAAUACCAUCUUAUAUAUGUAUCUCCAUCUCUGCUUGGCCGAAAUGAACCCCGGAUGUAUAAUCCCCAAUCUUUCCUUGAUCUGAAUGAAAACGCAGUUAUGUUGACAAAUAUUACUUUAUAGCUACCACAAAUGAAUGAUUUUAUAAAAUUUGUUGAAGCAAAGUAGGCAGGGCUCAUAAUAGCAUUCAUGUGAUUUGUGUUUAAGUGAAUACGUCAAAAUAUCAAAACGAUAAAUUCAAUUCUCUGCGAAAAUCAAAUUUUUGUAAAAUAGUUUCAAUAAAAAUCGUGAUUCCGACGAUGGGUGCUCGCAUACUUAUAAGUAUCGGAUAGUAUUCGGGUAGACCACAAACAAUUAUUGGACCAUGGACGAAUACGUUGGAGGCCAAUUAAGGUUACGCCAUGGAUUACAAAGUAAAUAUGCAUUCUCCCGUGAGUUACAGAUAGGAAUUAUGCAAAGGCUAGGCCAUAUAUUUUUCAAAAAUAAUCCAUCAAAAUAACUGUCUGAAGAAAUGGAUUAAAGUAUUCUAGUUCCAGUAAAAUUUAAAUGGGACCCAAAUUGUACCAGGAAGAUUUACGUUAGUAGAUUACAUUCUCGAAAUAACAUGUGCAAUGAAAUAAUGUACACCGCUUCCAAGCAGUGAAAAAAUGGCUACGGUCGCACCUAACAUACAAAUAUUUAUGUUUUUAUGGUACAUACAUAUGCAAGUUGGAGUAUUCAUACUCGUUUCAGCAAGUAAAACUACUACACCGCGCAACAAUAACAGCACUACACCACGCAACAAUAAUACCACUGAUCCCGCUAUUUUCACCAUAUUCUGAACAGUCGAUGUGACACUGGAUAGAAACAUUUUUCGGUAUAAAUCUUCUACUUGCAAAAAGAAAAACCGAGCAUCCCAGGAAGUGACGAAAGGAAGCAGUAAAUGCCGCCGAGAUAGGCGCUCCUUAAAUUAGGCUCGUUACAAAUGUUAUCAUCUAAACAAAUCUACAAGCUUUUGUCUUAUGAAUUUAACAUCUUCGAACUACCAACUUUCAGCUUGAAACUCUAGUUUGCUUCACUAUCUUCCUCAACGAAAUCCAACUUUUAUUGGAAAACGAUUAAGUUUUUAUUGAGUUCUUCCAUUCUAUAACCAAAGCGUAGACAAACUUUGCUUAUCUUCUACUCUCUUCUAUGUUUUUCAAAAUGUGUGUAUGAUUGGCCAAUUUGAUAAAUACAUAUUUGAUAAUAAGCUGCAAAUUAAAUCUUACACAUAACUAGAGGAAUUGCCAUUGCCAUAACUAAACAAUACAUUCUAAUGGAUUAUUUGACUGUCAGUUGCUGUUGCCUUAAACUACCAAAAUAUCCGACAAUUUCAUGUUGAUUAUUGUGCUUCAUAUUUUAGCAGAAACUCAUUGUAUAAUCGGCUUAAAAAUACUGAUUUUUACUGUAUGCUUGCUGAAAAUUAUUUUUGACUUGUAUUUAUUGUUAUGCAAUAGACCGCAAACUGUACUCCGAGCUUUGCCCUCUGACUCUUUUAUAAGGCCUUUGAAACAAACAAUUUCAUAGUCAUAAAUAACUGAAUCUUAUCGCCCUUUAUCAUUAGCCAAAUAUAAAUAUAAAACCUCCUUUUCUCAAGUGUCAAAUGAAGUCCUAUAGACCUUGUAUUCAAGCUGAUAACAAAGACAGCACAAGUCCUAUUUUAGAAUUUCUAUCUCCUCCGCUAACCGAGUUUCUUGAUCUUGCUACAACUGCUGGUACUCUGCAAACGGUUUUAAUUGCGAGAAUUGUGAACAAGCCAGCAAAUUUCAUAAAAAAUUCUGAGAUAAAUAAUUUCUACUCUAUAAAGGACCCGCAAGGGCCAGAAAAUUAUCUAAUAUACAACUUUUUAGAGGGAUGAACUGCCAGGAUUGAUAUAUCAGUAAAUAAAUCUGAAGGAAAGAAUAGUAUGAGUCUACCACAAUUUGGAAAGCAUGAAUAAAACAGGACAGAGUUUCUAUUGUUUUACCAACUACCAAGCCAACAAAUAUUACUCUGAGAUUUUCAAAUGGCUAUCCAAUGGGAGAGGAUGUUUGUAUUGGAAUUCGGAAUGCAUCUGAUUAGUAUGUAUGUUUUAUUGAGUAGUAGAUCGAACAUAAAGGUUAUUGAACAAUUUACUAAAAAUCUGUGGCUAGCGCUCACUCAAAGUUGAAUGAUGUCUUUUUUACCUAAGGUUUUUCCCGAAUUCCUCUCUCCAAACUACGUGAUUACUUUUCUCCUAUUAUCAUUUCGCCAACCUACUUGAAUACUUUUCUCCCAUUAUCCGUUCGCAAACCUACGUUAUUACCUUUAUCCCAUUAUAGAGAUCAUGAUCACGCCGCAUAAUGUUUAUUUGAUAUUGAUGCGAGCCACUGUAUAUCCGAACUGAGGGCAUAACUGAUCGGAUAUUCCAGGUACCAUCACGAUGUCUUUCCUUCGUCUGAAGGAUCACCAUCCCUCUACAAAAGCCAACAAAAAAGGAACGCAUCAGUGUCAUUUUCCUUCUCUUUCUCUGUGCGUUAUCAUCAUAAUUUUGACAAUAUUCUGAUUUGAUAUUCAGUUUAUUAACUCAAAUAAUUUAUCUACGAAUGGAUCGCCACUGCACUAGGUCUUUAGAAAAUUUCCUUCGCAGUUUUUUCUAUUUAUCAUAUGCAUAAUAUUUUAACCAAAAUAGACCACUGAAAUUCAGACCAAACAUAAAAAACCAUCAAACAAAUAUAUUUUGAAUGAAUCGUCUGUCAACUAAAAAUCUUCAGCAUAACGAAUAUGUGCAUAAUCGUAAUUGGAAAUGCAAUCAUCCUCAUGUUCUGCAAUAGGUAUAGCUAUAAAUUAAACCGGAACUGCUCUGAGAUAUGAAAUAUGAAGGAUUAUAAACAACGUAUGAGGUGGUUGAGUGGGCUUCGAAGGGGCUUCCGAACUAUGGCACAGAAGCGCUGAAGAAAGGAGCCCCUCAGCCAAAGAGGCAACGCUCGCAAAAGACUCCCCGUCCAGCAACGAAGCGAUCCAGGUUCUUUCCAAACAUUUCUUUAACGCAGAUUGCCAGAGAAAAGGCGCUGAUUAGCGUUCUAAGAAACCCUGAGGCAAAAAUUUUGGGAUUAAGGUGUAAUUUUGAUUCUUAUAAUUGCAAAGUAUGUGCGAAUACUUUAGGAUGCCUAACACAAACAUACGGAUGUGAUUAUGUAAUUUGAAAUAAGCCAUCAAAAAGGAUGAAAUCCAUCACUAUCUAAGUGGACAACUGGCGUUGCUAUGAUAUUUAAAGCAUUUGUUCGAGUGCAAUUACCAAACAGUAACUUCCAAUCCCAUAUGUAUUUGCUAUAUUGCAUGCAGAAUAUAUCGUAAAAUGAUUAUUAUGAUAUGUAAAUUGCAUUAGAUACCAUCCGGGUUGCAUUGCAGUGUAAAGUUCAUCCUCCAUGAAAUGCUUGUUUUUUCGUUUCUAUUGUUUUUCUGUUGUAUACCUUACACGAAACCAAAAAGAGACUACAUGUUAAAUGUAUCCGAUGUAAAUGAUGUAGUUUUCUUAUAGCACGCAUUGAAAAUAAUAUUUUCUAAGUGGUAACAAGCUAACAAAUUUAAACCUGCAUAGCAUUUUCAAGCAUUAUUUCAAAUGUCUACAAAUGGAAGAUAUAUAAUUGAGCUACCAAAAGAGCUAGCCGAUGAACACAACCAAUAAUGCUUUAUUUUCCUGACAGUAUUAUUUGUUAAGGAACACAUUAGAUUGAAAGUUGAGCUCAAUGCCGUAUGAAUUCCAAAAUGGAACGUAUUCAAAAAUAUUUUAUAAUUGCAAUAAAGGGCAACCGAUAAAAUACAAUUUCGGGCGACGACGAAAUAGAGAUAAUUUUAUAACAAAGAUUACCUGAAUUUGAAUGACUUACCAGUAUAAUCGUGUACACUAGAUAUCAAUCAAUAUGUAACUUCCAACUAUUUGACUUCCUAAUAAAUGUUUUUUGGGGUUUUCAACU